GCAGCACACCAUCCAGCCAGUUCGUAAUCUCACCAAGAUCAAAUGUCAAUUUUCCAUGCUGCUGCAGACUGACCGGAUCUUCUCUGUGGGACUGCGUAUGAGCCUGGAAUAGCUGCCAUCUCUCGAUCACACCUGAGCAGCAAAGUAAGGUACAGCUGUGUGCAUGCAGAUGUGUGUGUGACUGUAUGUGUAUGUACACGUACAUAGCCCUCUGGAUGGUAGGAAGCACUGCUGCACGAAGGAGUUGAGUUUAGCUUGCGGAUGAUGUGCUUCUGGUCCUGCCAGCUGGGUUCUGUUACUGCGAUGAAGACCCACCCACGUCCACAGUGUGGUCCCACUCGAGUGGUAUAGAGUCCACGCUGAGAGGUGACUCUCUGCCCGAGGGUUCCAGUGCAGGAUGAAUAACGAUACAUGAUGUUUCUCCAGCGACGGUCCAGGCUCUGUGUGGUCUGCUGGAUGGAGUCAUUCUCAACAUCACUGCUGCACGCGUCGGCAUCAUGAAGUAACACGUCACACAGCGUCAGCACUGAUGCCACACCCUCAGUGUGCUGCUCGAUGUCCUUCUGCAGCUCCUGCAUCAUUUAUCAAAAACUAUGUCAGAGAGAUGGUGCGGAUGUUCUUACCUGGCCUCGAUGUGGUGGAAUAGGUGCUGCCAGCGGUCGCUAAUCCCCUUGAUUUUGUCACUGAUCUCGGCCUCCUUGGUCUUAUUGGUGGCGGAAAUGAGCUGCUCUCCUAGCUGCUUUAGCAUCAGCACGUCCUCACCCAUGAUGUACUGAGAGACGUCCGUCUUCAUACUGCUUGCCUGGUACAGACUCACCGCCCAGUCGUCCAGAGAGUCCUGCACCUCCUGCAUAACAUAACACACUCACAAACUCUGUACACAACUCUACACCGUCUCUACACCUCCAAAACUGCUCCGGGACGUCCUAAACUUCCAGCCUGGCUGUGUCUCUCACAAUGACUGGCAAUCUUUCUGAUUGACUCCAGCUCUCUCUCUCUUUACCCCUCCUCCCUCACUCACUCUCACUCUCUCGUAAGGUCUCUCGCCCAGUAGGAUUAAGGUGCUGGGGCAGUUGGGGGAGGAGAACAGGAUAUUAGACCUAUGAUGAGCCAGAGGGAACAAAGCUGAUGUGAAACCAGUUUCACCCUCUCAUGUACACUGAUUAAAGGAACAGUUUUUUGAAAAACCCAUUCGCACCUUACUUUUCUUACAACAAAUGUAAUCAGCCAAGACAUUGGUCGAUGUCUGAGGAAAAUCAGAAGUUAAGAUUUAUACAUACAUACACCUCAGUGAGAACAGACUAAACUGAGACCAAUCUAAACUAAUAAGUUGGGUAAUUAUUUGAACGCUCUAGUAAAUAAGAAAUCUGCACAUAUUAAAUCAGGGUUUUUCAAAAUUGACCUACGAUUUUGUCCAUGAUUUUUACCACGACCCAGGCAACACAUUAAAUUUAUCAAAACAUACUUAAUUAAUGAAAUUGGUGGCAAUCUGGUCCCACUGUGGUUUACAAGGUGUGACAAAAGCCUCCACAAGGGGGCAUUUGUGUAAAAGUUCACAAACAAAUGUAUUUAUUUAAUUAUUAUUAUUUUUGUCUGCGACCCAUUUUUUUGUCCCGCAACCCACCCAAGGGUUUGAAAAUCCCUGUAUUAAA